CGGCCACAUUCCAUUAAAACACCGGUUGCCAUACGAUUACCGAAGUUACCCAACGUAGAGCCUGGUCAGUAACUAGAUGGGUGACCGCUUGGGAAUACCAAGUGUUGGA